rnacentral:lncRNA from 1 species
CAGUUUUUUUUUUUUUUUCAACGUUUAUUUAUUUUUGGGGGGGGGGGGGGACAGAGAGAGACAGAGCAUGAACGGGGGAGGGGCAGAGAGAGAGGGAGACACAGAAUCGGAAGCAGGCUCCAGGCUCUGAGCCAUCAGCCCGGAGCCCGACGCGGGGCUCGAACUCACGGACCGCGAGAUCGUGACCUGAGCUGAAGUCGGAUGCUCAACCGACUGAGCCACCCAGGCGCCCCAACAAUGAGGCCUUUAAAGCCUGUGGCUACCUAUAUGGAUAUCGGCUUGCACUGGAGCUGUGUGUCUGAGCUGGGAGAUUUGAACUUUACCUUGGCAUCCUGGUGAAUCCAACUCAAGGGUCUGCCCAAGGCACACUUCCCUCCGCUAUUCCCACCAGUUGUAGCUGGUACAUCCCUCGUCACCACUGUUUCUUAUAAGCUCCUUUAUUAUAGUGUUUCUCAUAUGGUAUUUACAUGUUUGCUCUUUAACUGGAUGAUGAGCUACUUGAGGACAGACACCAAACUGCUCAACUCGGCUGUAUGCUGGGGACACAGAUGACUGGUUAGGUGAGUCUCUGUGUGGGGUACAACUAAAGACAAACUUAAACACCUGAGGAAAUUUGGAUUUGUUCCCGGAACAAUUCUUUGCUGUUCCAUCCUUACAAAGACCACUUUUGACACAGCACUGAUGGUAGAUUGACCUGACCAGAGGGUAUGUGGUCCAUCUUUGUCCAGCCAAAAUGUUUCCUUUGUUCCAAGCCACACCGUCUUGAGAUUUUGGACUAACUGGGUUGGACUCUUACAGAAAAGCUGGGCACAAGUCUAUAUCAAGGGCCGGCGUUGGAAAUAGCUGCAAUAUUUUUUUUUUCUUUUCAGCUGAUAUAUAAUCAACAAGUAACAUCCUGUAAGUUGAAGGUCUACAACGCGAUGACUUAUGGUUAAGACGACGUUAAGAUCUAUUCUCAGCAACUUUCAAGGGCACAAUACAGUAUUGUUAACCAUAGUCAUCAUGCUCCACAUUAGAUCCUCAGAACUGAUUCAUCUCGGUGUAACAAUAUUCUGGAUUCACUCCACUGGAGGGAUGCAACGAGGGUUAAAUGAUGCACGAUAAGCUGCACAUGUUUAAAGUUUGGAUCUAUGCUCCUACCUAUCAGAUGAUCACCAAAAUCAAGAAGGUAAACAUUUCUCUCACCCCCCCGCCUCUUCUGCCUUUUAUAACCCAUCCCACCUCAUCC